rnacentral:rRNA from 1 species
CAACUACGUGCCAGCAGCCGCGGUAAGACGUAGGGCGCAAGCGUUGUCCGGAUUUAUUGGGCGUAAAGAGCUCGUAGGCGGCUUGUCGCGUCGACUGUGAAAACCCGUGGCUCAACUGCGGGCUUGCAGUCGAUACGGGCAGGCUAGAGUUCGGUAGGGGAGACUGGAAUUCCUGGUGCAGCGGUGAAAUGCGCAGAUAUCAGGAGGAACACCGGUGGCGAAGGCGGGUCUCUGGGCCGAUACUGACGCUGAGGAGCGAAAGCGUGGGGAGCGAACAGGAUUAGAUACCCUGGUAGUCCACGCUGUAAACGUUGGGCGCUAGGUGUGGGGGGCCUCUCCGGUUCUCUGUGCCGCAGCUAACGCAUUAAGCGCCCCGCCUGGGGAGUACGGCCGCAAGGCUAAAACUCAAAGGAAUUGACGGGGGCCCGCACAAGCGGCGGAGCGUGCGGAUUAAUUCGAUGCAACGCGAAGAACCUUACCUGGGUUUGACAUCGCCGGAAAUCCUUCAGAGAUGGGGGGUCCUUCGGGGCCGGU